GAUGAACGCUGGCGGCGUGCCUAAUACAUGCAAGUCGAGCGAACAGACGGGGACUUUGCUCCUAUAACGGUAGCGACGGACGGGUGAGUAACACGUGGGUAGCCUACCUAUAAGACGGGGAUAACUUCGGAAGACCGGAGCUAAUACCGGAGAAGAUAUCAAACCGCAUGGUUAAAUAGUGAAAGACGGGUGUGCGGGCACUGAUAGAUACAUCCAGGCCGCAUUAGCUAGGGGGUAAGGUAACGGCUUACAAGGGCAACGAUGCGUAGCCGACCUGAGAGAGUGAUCCGCCACACUGGAACUGAGACACGGUCCAGACUCCUACGGGAGGCAGCAGUAGGGAAUCUUCCGCAAUGGGCGAAAGCCUGACGGAGUAACGCCGCGUGAGUUGUGAAGGUCUUCGGAUCGUAAAACCCUGUUAGUGGGGAAGAACAAAUGUGUAAGUAACUGUGCACGUCAUGACGGUACCUAAUCAGAAAGCCACGGCUAACUACGUG
rnacentral:rRNA from 1 species